GACGAACGCUGGCGGCGUGCUUAACACAUGCAAGUCGAACGGAAAGGCACUGCUUUUGUGGGGUGCUCGAGUGGCGAACGGGUGAGUAACACGUGAGUAACCUGCCCUUGACUUUGGGAUAACUUCAGGAAACUGGGGCUAAUACCGGAUAGGAGCUCCUGCUGCAUGGUGGGGGUUGGAAAGUUUCGGCGGUUGGGGAUGGACUCGCGGCUUAUCAGCUUGUUGGUGGGGUAGUGGCUUACCAAGGCUUUGACGGGUAGCCGGCCUGAGAGGGUGACCGGCCACAUUGGGACUGAGAUACGGCCAAGACUCCUACGGGAGGCAGCAGUGGGGAAUAUUGCACAAUGGGCGGAAGCCUGAUGCAGCAACGCCGCGUGCGGGAUGACGGCCUUCGGGUUGUAAACCGCUUUCGCCUGUGACGAAGCGUGAGUGACGGUAAUGGGUAAAGAAGCACCGGCUAACUACGUG
rnacentral:rRNA from 1 species